rnacentral:rRNA from 1 species
CCUACGGGUGGCUGCAGUGGGGGAUAUUGCACAAUGGGGGGAACCCUGAUGCAGCAACGCCGCGUGGGGGAAGAAGCGUUUCGGCGCGUAAAGUCCUGUUAGCAGGGAAGAUAAUGACGGUAUCUGACGAAUAAGCACCGGCUAACUACGUGCCAGCAGCCGCGGUAAUACGUAGGGGGCAAGCGUUACCCGGAUUCACUGGGCGUAAAGGGCGCGCAGGCGGGGUAGCAAGCCAGAUGUGAAAGCCUGGGGCUUAACCACAGAACUGCAUUUGAAACUGUGAGGCUGGAGUACAGGAGAGGCAGGCGGAAUUCCUGGUGUAGCGGUAAAAUGCGUAGAGAUCAAGAGGAAUACUCAUUGCGAAGGCGACCUGCUAGACUACAACUGACGUUGAGGCACGAAAGCGUGGGGAGCGAACAGGAUUAGAUACCCGGGUAGUC